AUUUUGGUAAUACGAUCUGGUUUUAUUUUACAAGUGAUGUGAGGAAGGAGUUUUUCAAUCUUAAUUUUAACUGAAAACUCAAGAAUGAAGACUUCUGUCUGAAGAGACAUGGGAAUGAUGUUGUCUUCAGAUCUUUGGCAGAAGGAACAACCAACGAACUAACCCUGUGUUCAUCACCUUCAGUUCCAAAGUGUUGGAGAAUCUACCGUAGAAUGUUCCAAAGUGUUGGAGAAUCUAGCUUUCCCUUACCUUUUCACUGCUAUAAACAAUUCUUAUCAGUUCAGACAUUCAAAAGCAUAUGUGAAGGAAUGGAUAUCUCUCCAAACUCAUCUACACUUUGCACAUAAGAAUCCUGGUCACUCAACUAUAAAUAAAAAUAUAAAUUAGGAUCUCAGCUCCUGAAUUUCAACAGGAGAGAGCAAUGCUUGAUGUACAUAUAUUAUCCAGACACAAUGAUAAGUAUGACAAAAUAUUCCUCACCUCCAAAAAAAUAUAUGCCCUUAGUCAGCAUUGUGGAAGAGUAGGAUCUGGGCAAACCGUGUCCUUGCCUAGAACCAUGUUUCAAUAGAAAAUGACUGGAUAAAAUCAAUGUUAUUUCAAGACUGUGAUUUUCAAAGCAGUCUGCAGAUGGUAUGAACACAGAGGAAUCAGUCAGUUUGCAUUUAAAUAGUUAAUUGCAGAUAUUAAUGUCUACUUAGCUGCAUUAGAAAAAUUAAUGUAACGGCUUAUGUGCAAGGACAGUGCUUCAUAUAAUGGAACACUUUGCUGAUGUGACUAAAUACCUUUUUGAUAUUGAGCCAUGCAGAAAAGGAGAAAAAAAAAACUAAGCAAACUCUUCAAGGUACAAUAAAACAGCCAGGGAAGCAGCUUGGGGAUGUGGUGAUGUAUAACAGAACUUGUGCCUUUGGAACUGACACAAAAAAAAGCACUUCUGAAAAUGCCAAGUCUUUUCAGGAAGAGCUGACAGACAAACAAAAGGAGCUGUUUCUUCAUCUUGUGAGUGUCUGCAGUUCCCCAUGUCCUUCUGCAAUAGACAGUUGAUUCUUGAUGUGCUGAAAUCAAGGAGAGAUCUGCUGUAUCUGGAUGUUGUGAGCACAUGGCGGUUGCCUCUUACCUGGACUGAUAGGUGAUGUUCCUAACAGAGCACCUAAGACUCCACUCUAUAUUUACAGAAGAGUAGGCUCCAGCCUGGAUGCACCUGCCUUUGCUCACAUACCCCACCUGCAACCCAGCCGUUUUCUGUGAACAGAAUCCAUGCUCAUUUUACACUAGGAUUGCUGUCUGCAUCAGAUCUUCAUCUUUAUUCUCCUGAGAGGGAAGAAGAACUUGCCUGGCUUCUUCAGCAGCUAUAAUGAAUGAACACACAAUCC